UUAAUUCCAGUUCUCCCCUUUCCCUUUUAUUUCCACGUUAAUCUCUCCUCACCCCCUCUGCUAAUCUCUCACACUCUCUCCCGUACAUAUCUCCUCCAUUCCUCUUCCACCUUUGUUCCCCGUUCUUUUCUUUUCCCCCGAAACCCGCCGCCGCCGCUGUUCAAACUCCGGCCAGUCGCCGGCACCACCACUGUGUUGUUUCUUCUGAUUAAUUCACCCGCGAUUCUUCGAGUUCCUAGGCAAUCCAGACGCAGGCUUGCUGUUUUCGGACGAAUCCAGCCCUGUUCUUCAGCCUCCAGUGUUGUGUUAGCGCGGUAUAACCCAGUCUCGUGUAUAUAAUUCGAUUAUUAUGAUUUUGGUUAUUUGGGUCGGAUUGAGUUGUUGAUUGGAUGCUUAAAUUCGGAUUAAUGUUAGUUAAUUUCUACUAAUAUUAAUACUUAAAAUCAGGAUUGUGUCUAUAAUUAGCCGGUUGUUAUAUGUGUGUAUUAUACGUGCUUGUUAAAUGUGAAUUUGUAUAUGAGACUCGGAUAUAAUUUUGUGUUGGUAGUAACUAUCGGGACCACUAAGUUAUUUUAAUUUAAUUGUUGAUUGAUGUUUGAUUUGGAUUGUUGGGUUUACAAGUUAGUAAUUAUCUUUCGAGGAUUAGAAGUAAAAUUUUGAUGAUACAUCUAUGUAUGCCUCGACUUUUCGGGUAUAUGUGUUUAUAUUAUUAAAAUUUAUAUUUUUAUAAUGUGAUAAUUGAUUAUUAACUUUUCGUGCCUAGUUGAUCCUGUAAGUCUUAUUAAACGUAUUUUAUGUAUAGUAAAUUAGCAAUCCUGCUAAAAGUUUUCUUAUGUGUUUACAAGAAGAUAGUAAAUUAGCAAUCCUGCAAGGCGGAUUUUCUUAUGUGUUAUGUGUUUACUGCAAGUCAAGGCAGAUUUUCUAAUAUAUUAAGCCAUAUUAGUGGCUAUUCUUGGUAUUGAAAACAGGUGGAUAGUCCUAUAAACAGAGGAGGUGCUGCCGAAAUUUUGUUAGAAAUUAUAUGCAUUUAGACUAUUUAAAGGUGUUUGAUAGAUAAUAAGUAGAGACAAUAAUAUUGGUAUACAUGUCUACGUGAUACGUGAUCACUAGUAAUCUUUAAUAAUUAUAAAAGUAUUUCUUGGUUGACUAAGUUCUAUGUGUUUGGCUGAAAUUUAUGUUUAUAUAAACGAAGGGUAGUGAUUAAGUGAUAUUGAGGAUAUGACUUUGGAUUCAAAUAGUUAAGACCCAGUCUUCUAUCCUGUAGGUUCCGGUUAGAGAGCCUAACAGUAUAGUGCAGUCUUAUCUCUAGCAUUCUAUUAUCAAGGCAAGUAUUUCUAUCCUACUUCUCUAGUACCUAUAGAUACUAAAACCUUCUUUAUAUCAUGAUUCAAAUUAUUUGCAAUUACUCUCUUGUGAAGCAUAUCUAGUAUUUCCAAACUUUUUGGUUGAACGGAUAACACUUUUGGUAUCGACUCUACACUAUUAUAUGCAUAAAGAAAUUGUUUUAACAAAAUGUUAUUUUGGCUCUUGAAUUACAUGAUGGAACUGCAGAUUGUUCUAAAAAUUAAACUAUUGGGUUGUUUUUGCGUAAGAGGCUCGGGCACCGGCCCAGCGUGAAAGGUGGCUCCUUAAGCCCGGAUUACCGGAAUUCGUAAUAUUUGUCAACCUUGCUGAAUAAGCUUGGUUUAUGGACUAUAGCAUGACUGAUCAUCUGUUAUAGCCAGGUGUCCAAUGAUUUUUAAAGCCCAAUAAAAUUGUGAAUAGUUAAAGAGAGGUUAUCCUGCCUUCAAGAGAUAUUUGCUUAUACAUUCAUUUCUGCAGUUUUAAAUAUUUUCACUUCUUUAUUAUGGCAUUGCUGUACAACAAAUAUCAAUUUCAUUCUGUUAUACUUGCUGAGCAUUUCUUUGGCUCAUACCUGUUUAUUUUCAAACUAACCCCUUUCAGAUGCCAAGGAUUAGAGCAGCUGCUUAUAAGGUUUCCCAGAGUUAUCUUUUGUGCUAGGAAAAUCGCAGGAUGAUGCUAGGAGUCUUGGACUAAGUGUGGAUUAGUUAGUACGACUUGUUUCUUUGAAGUUGUAUUAUAGUGUCAGUAUGGUUGUAGUGGAAAACUCAUGUGGUAAGGAACCUAUGUCGUCGUUCGUUUGCAGUAACAGUUUAAACCUUUCGCAGACUUAAACCUGGGAAGAUCUUUGGUCAGGGGUGUAAUGGUAA
rnacentral:lncRNA from 1 species